rnacentral:rRNA from 1 species
GAGGGGGGGUAGAAUUCCAGGUGUAAGCAGUGGAAAUGCGUAGAGAUCUGGAAGAAAUACCGGUGGCGAAGGCGGCCCCCUGGACAAAGACUGACGCUCAGGUGCGAAAGCGUGGGGAGCAAAACAGGAUUAGAUACCCAGGUAGUCCACGCCGUAAACGAUGUCGACUUGGGAGGGUUGUGCCCUUGAGGCGUGGCUUCCGGAGCUAACGCGUUAAGUCGACCGCCUGGGGAGUACGGCCGCAAGGUUAAAACUCAAAUGAAUUGACGGGGGCCCGCACAAGCGGUGGAGCAUGUGGUUUAAUUCGAUGCAACGCGAAGAACCUUACCUACUCUUGACAUCCAGAGAACUUAGCAGAGAUGCUUUGGUGCCUUCGGGAACUCUGAGACAGGUGCUGCAUGGCUGUCGUCAGCUCGUGUUGUGAAAUGUUGGGUUAAGUCCCGCAACGAGCGCAACCCUUAUCCUUUGUUGCCAGCGGUUCGGCCGGGAACUCAAAGGAGACUGCCAGUGAUAAACUGGAGGAAGGUGGGGAUGACGUCAAGUCAUCAUGGCCCUUACGAGUAGGGCUACACACGUGCUACAAUGGCAUAUACAAAGAGAAGCGACCUCGCGAGAGCAAGCGGACCUCAUAAAGUAUGUCGUAGUCCGGAUUGGAGUCUGCAACUCGACUCCAUGAAGUCGGAAUCGCUAGUAAUCGUGGAUCAGAAUGCCACGGUGAAUACGUUCCCGGGCCUUGUACACACCGAAACGUCACACCAUGGGAGUGGGUUGCAAAAGAAGUAGGUAGCUUA